rnacentral:rRNA from 1 species
GAUGAACGCUGACAGAAUGCUUAACACAUGCAAGUCUACCAAGAAUCACUUCGGUGAGGAAUGGUGGCGGACGGGUGAGUAACGCGUAAAUAAUCUGCCCUUUAGACUGGGAUAUCCUUUGGAAACGAAGGUUAAUACCGGAUAUUAUGAGAUGGACGCAUGUUCAACUUAUGAAAGCUAAAUGCACUAGAGGAGGAGUUUGCGUCCCAUUAGCUAGUUGGUGAGGUAAAGGCGCAUCAAGGCCACGAUGGGUAGCCGGCCUGAGAGGGUGAACGGCCACAAGGGAACUGAGACACGGUCCUUACUCCUACGGGAGGCAGCAGUGGAGAAUAUUGGACAAUGGACCAAAAGUCUGAUCCAGCAAUUCUGUGUGCACGAUGAAGGUCUUCGGAUUGUAAAGUGCUUUCAGUAGGGAAGAAAAAAAUGACGGUACCUACAGAAGAAGCGACGGCCAAAUAUGUGCCAGCAGCCGCCGUAACAC